rnacentral:lncRNA from 1 species
GUUUUUAUGAUUUUUAUUUUUUCCAUCAUAGCUGGUUUACAGUGUUCUGUCAAUUUUCUCCUGGACAGCAAGAUGACCCAGUCACACAUACAUGUAUACAUUCUUUUUCUCACAUUGUCAUGCUCCGUCAUCAGUGACUAGAUGCAGUGCUAUACAGCAGGAUCCCAUUGCUUAUCCAUUCCAAAGGCAAUAGUUUGCAUCUAUUAACCCCAGAUUCCCAGUCCAUCCCACUCCCUCCCCUUCCCCCUUGGCAACCACAAGUCUGUUUUCCAAGUCCAUGAUUUUCUUUUCUGGGGAAAGUUUCACUUGUGCCAUAUAUUAGAUUCCAGAUAUAAGUGAUAGCAUAUGGUAUGUGUCUUUCUCUUUCUGACUUACUUCACUUAGUAAUAUACAUACAUUCUCUUUCUUACAUAUUAUCUUCCAUCGUGUUCUAUCCCAAGAGACUGGAUGUAGUUCCCUGUGCUGUACAGCAGAACCUUAAUUGCUUAUCCAUUCUAAAUGGAAUAGUUUGCAUCUACUAACCCCAAACUCCCAGGCCACCCCACUCCCUCCCCUCUCCUUGGCAGGCUAGAACCAGAACCUGAGGCUCCAGACUCCCGGAGGGGCUUUUCUAGGGGUGGACAGACCAUGGCACCAUGCCUCUCCAUCUCUCUGACAGCCCCUGGCAGGCCAGAUGCCAGAGGAGAGAAAAGCAGCCCCCUGUCCACCUGCAACCAUUUCUGGUGCUGGCCCAUCUUCUGGUUGCGGGGGGGGGGGGGGGGGGGGAAGGAAUGGAGGAGCAGCCGCUGAGGCCUGAGAGCCCAACUACUGGGUCGGAACAGCCGGCCAGGCCCCCCGAUGGCCGUCUGGCCAAGACUAUGCCUGAGGCAGCUCUGGCCUUGGUCCAGGACUCCUCCUGAAAUGCCUCCACUCCUUGGUCAGGCAGAGGGGGUGUUUGUGGGGCUGGGAAGGGAGGCACAGGAGAGGCAAUGGAGCGGGGCCUCACCCACCCCUCCCCAAGCCGAGUUGUUCAGGAGGCUCUGCAGGAACUCGUGAAGUGCUGGGGUUGGAUUCUGAGGCAGCUGGCUUGGUCUAGGAGGAGGGAUGAGGGGCUCACGAGGGCGGGGGGGGGAGGUGAGAGCCCCCGCCUCCCUGGGCCUGCCUCUCCGCCCACGCACCCCCUUCUCCUCCUGUGCCAGCGAGGGCUUCGGCCACCUGGAGGAAGAUGAGGGAGACAAGGCCGGGCUGUGGAGGCGCGCGGGGCAGGGUGGAUUUGCUGGCCUGCCCUCCAGAUGUGAGUCAUUUCUGGUCUGCAUCUUCCUCCUUGUUCAGUGCUGGCAAUUUCGGAAGGGGGAUGGUGAUAUGCAGAAGGAGGCCCCACGGGUAACUCCUUUAGCAAGCCCCCACCUUGCCCAGGGCUCCCCAUGCCCCUCUCUCUACCUGCUUUC